AAAGUGCUGGGAUUGCAGGUGUGAGCCAUUCAAGCACUUUAUUUUUAUAAACAAGGAGACCGAGACCCAGAGUAGCUGCUGAUGGUCACAAAGGCUGUAAGCAUGAAGUCUGGAAACCUCUGCUGUUGUGCAAUGCGCAAUGUGGGAAGAGAGGCUCUCCACCUCUGAUGGGGCUGUGUUUGAGUCCCUCCUCCCUCCCUUUCCACCUCCCUCCCCACUACCACCACUUACUUAAAUGUGUGACUCAGUGUCACUAACUUAACAUUUCCCAGCCUGUUUCAUUAUCUGUAUAGUGGGGUCUAAUAGCAUCU
rnacentral:lncRNA from 1 species